rnacentral:rRNA from 1 species
CCGGCGCACGGGUGAGUAACACGUAUGCAACCUGGCCGUCACAGGUGGAUAACCGGAAGAAAUUCCGACUAAUACAGCAUAACACUCCUGAGGGACAUCCCUUGGGAGUCAAAGGAGGCAACUCCGGUGACGGAUGGGCAUGCGGCGCAUUAGGUAGUUGGUAGGGUAACGGCCUACCAAGCCGACGAUGCGCAGGGGUUCUGAGAGGAAGGUCCCCCACAUUGGAACUGAGACACGGUCCAAACUCCUACGGAAGGCAGCAG